rnacentral:rRNA from 1 species
CGCGAAUAGCUCAUUACAACAGCUAUAAUUUACUUGAUCUUGACAACCUACUUGGAUAACUGUGGUAAUUCUAGAGCUAAUACAUGCACCAAAGCUCCGACCGUAAGGGAAGAGCGCAUUUAUUAGAACAAAACCAAGCGGCUUCGGCCGUCCAAUGUUGACUCAGAAUAACUAAGCUGAUCGCAUGGUCUUGUACCGGCGACGUGUCUUUCAAGUAUCUGCCUUAUCAACUUUCGAUGGUAGUGUAUCUGACUACCAUGGUGAUGACGGGUAACGGAGGAUAAGGGUUCGACUCCGGAGAAGGGGCCUGAGAAAUGGCCACUACGUCUAAGGAUGGCAGCAGGCGCGCAAAUUACCCACUCUCAGAACGAGGAGGUAGUGACGAGAAAUAACGAGACCGUUCUCUUAAGAGGCCGGUCAUCGGAAUGGGUACAAUUUAAACCCUUUAACGAGUAUCUAUGAGAGGGCAAGUCUGGUGCCAGCAGCCGCGGUAAUUCCAGCUCUCAAAAUGCAUAGAAUUAUUGCUGCGGUUAAAGAGCUCGUAGUUGGAUCUGUGCUGGCCUCCCGGUCCACCUUCGGGUGUGCACUGGUGAGGUUGGCUUUCCUGCCCAUUUUUCGGUCAGUGCCUUUAACCGGGUGCUGGUCGUAGUGGGCAAGUUUACUUUGAACAAAUCAGAGUGCUCAAAACAGGCGUUUCGCUUGAAUGUUCGUGCAUGGAAUAAUAUAUGAGGAUUUCGGUUCUAUUUUAUUGGUUUUAUAGACUGAGAUAAUGGUUAACAGAGACAAACGGGGGCAUUCGUAUUGCUACGUGAGAGGUGAAAUUCUUGGACCGUAGCAAGACGAACUACAGCGAAAGCAUUUGCCAAGAAUGUCUUCAUUAAUCAAGAACGAAAGUCAGAGGUUCGAAGGCGAUCAGAUACGCCC